AUCCUGGCUCAGGACGAACGCUGGCGGCGUGCCUAAUACAUGCAAGUCGAGCGCGGGAAGCGAGCGGAUCCCUUCGGGGUGAAGCUCGUGGAACGAGCGGCGGACGGGUGAGUAACACGUGGGCAACCUGCCUGUAAGAUCGGAAUAACCCCGGGAAACCGGGGCUAAUGCCGGGUAAUACUUUCUUUCGCAUGAAGGAAAGUUGAAAGAUGGCUUCUUGCUAUCACUUACAGAUGGGCCCGCGGCGCAUUAGCUAGUUGGUGAGGUAACGGCUCACCAAGGCGACGAUGCGUAGCCGACCUGAGAGGGUGAUCGGCCACACUGGGACUGAGACACGGCCCAGACUCCUACGGGAGGCAGCAGUAGGGAAUCUUCCGCAAUGGACGAAAGUCUGACGGAGCAACGCCGCGUGAACGAUGAAGGUCUUCGGAUCGUAAAGUUCUGUUGUUAGGGAAGAACAAAUACCGUGCGAAUAGAGCGGUACCUUGACGGU
rnacentral:rRNA from 1 species